CUCUCGCAAGCAUCCGCAACUACGAAAGAAGAAUUAAGACAAAGUCUAACCAUAACAUUAAAGUAGUGGAUCCAAAUCAGCCCCUUAUGAAGCAACACAUAAACUAGGGUUUCAGCUUCUGUCACUCUAGCAACCCAUCAUCUACUUACUACUUCCCAAUGCCUUCCUCUAGGCCCAAAUAAUGGUGAAGUGUUAUGUAGUCGACGUUCACAUAACACCACUAGAGGAGAAACAACAUACAAC
rnacentral:lncRNA from 1 species